GGAGGUUGUAGGGCAUCACCGUAAUGAUGCAGCACAGUAUAAGCACAAGUCGGGCCACAGCCGCACAAUGAAGGCAGAAAGAGAAGUAGAGCAGUUGCGAUAUAAAGGCAAAAAGUGUAAAAGGCCGUUACUACGGCUAUAUACUAGAAAAACAAUUAAAAUUUAAAAAAACGAUAGCAAGCUAUAAUAAGCACAUGGGAUAUAUUUAAUAGAGAAUCAUUAACAAAUAGUAAUUUUUUAAAAUGGUAAUUAUUAGUAAUAUUCGUUUUUGAAAUUUAUUUUUUUCAAACGCAGCGCGAUCCAGGUUUAUGGAGUGGUUAAUUAGUAUCGUACCUACUUAAACUUUAUUCCAUACGAUCGGCAGCGAUGAGCAGAUCGCAUACCUACAUUCCCAACAGCUCCCUACCUAAGAGUUGAGUUUCGGUCCUAAAUCAACUUUCAAGACACCAGGAUUUGUACCAAGGCCAUGUGAGCUAGUUGAGUUCGGUACAAACAAAGUCAAUGAUGGUGAAUAUGAUAAGGUGACACAUGAGUUGAGUUGUAUAUAAUAAAUUAUUAAAUUGUCAAGUAAAGUAUUACAUCUGUCUACUAAUAAAGAUGA